rnacentral:misc_RNA from 1 species
GAUGAAGAACGCAGCGAAAUGCGAUAAUUAAUGUGAAUUGCAGAAUUCCGUGAAUCAUCGAGUCUUUGAACGCACAUUGCGCCUCAUGGCAUUCCGUGAGGCAUGCCCAUCUCAGCGUUAGAAAAUAUUCUCAAAUUUUAGUUUUGUGCUAAAAUUUGGAUCAUGUCAAGGAAGCUAUUACUAUUAUUGUGAUCGCUCUUUGGAAAUUGAUAGGUCUUUGAGUUGCUACUCAUAGAACGUGAUGAAUCUGUCUUCGUUCUAUUGUAAUUCACUCUGGUAGGCCUAAAACUUGUAUGCCUGUGGCAUAACUUGUAAUUUGACCUGAGAUUGGGUAGGGAUACCCGCUGAACUUAAGCAUAUCAAUAAGCGGAGGA